UGCGUAGGUGGUUUCUUAAGUCAGGAGUGAAAGGCUACGGCUUAACCGUAGUAAGCUCUUGAAACUGGGAAACUUGAGUGCAGGAGAGGAAAGUGGAAUUCCUAGUGUAGCGGUGAAAUGCGUAGAUAUUAGGAGGAACACCAGUAGCGAAGGCGGCUUUCUGGACUGUAACUGACACUGAGGCACGAAAGCGUGGGUAGCGAACA
rnacentral:rRNA from 1 species